AUGCUGCUCUGGGCCGCGCAAAAGGGUCUUCUAUCACCUCUCGGUCUCGACAGCAACACGCCAAGGGUGUCUCUUUUCGCCGAUGAUGCAGUUCUCUUCUUCAGACCAACUCCGAUGGACAACCAGGUAAUUGCUGGCAUGUUAGACCUGUUUGGAGAAGCUUCGGGCCUGCAGAUUAACCUACAAAAGAGCACCAUUACAUGUAUCCGUUGCGAUGAC
rnacentral:rRNA from 1 species